rnacentral:rRNA from 1 species
AAAAGAAAGAAACCAGAAAAGAAAUGGAAAAAAACAACUUU